ensembl:piRNA 21ur-5391 ncRNA
UCGCGAUCUUCUUUAUGGUAU